rnacentral:rRNA from 1 species
ACAAUGAAGAGUUUGAUCCUGGCUCAGGAUGAACGCUAGCUACAGGCUUAACACAUGCAAGUCGAGGGGCAUCAGGAAGAAAGCUUGCUUUCUUUGCUGGCGACCGGCGCACGGGUGAGUAACACGUAUCCAACCUGCCCUUUACUCGGGGAUAGCCUUUCGAAAGAAAGAUUAAUACCCGAUGGCAUAAUGAUUCCGCAUGGUUUCAUUAUUAAAGGAUUCCGGUAAAGGAUGGGGAUGCGUUCCAUUAGGUUGUUGGUGAGGUAACGGCUCACCAAGCCUUCGAUGGAUAGGGGUUCUGAGAGGAAGGUCCCCCACAUUGGAACUGAGACACGGUCCAAACUCCUACGGGAGGCAGCAGUGAGGAAUAUUGGUCAAUGGGCGGUAGCCUGAACCAGCCAAGUAGCGUGAAGGAUGAAGGCUCUAUGGGUCGUAAACUUCUUUUAUAUAAGAAUAAAGUGCAGUAUGUAUACUGUUUUGUAUGUAUUAUAUGAAUAAGGAUCGGCUAACUCCGUGCCAGCAGCCGCGGUAAUACGGAGGAUCCGAGCGUUAUCCGGAUUUAUUGGGUUUAAAGGGAGCGUAGGUGGACUGGUAAGUCAGUUGUGAAAGUUUGCGGCUCAACCGUAAAAUUGCAGUUGAUACUGUCAGUCUUGAGUACAGUAGAGGUGGGCGGAAUUCGUGGUGUAGCGGUGAAAUGCUUAGAUAUCACGAAGAACUCCGAUUGCGAAGGCAGCUCACUGGACUGCAACUGACACUGAUGCUCGAAAGUGUGGGUAUCAAACAGGAUUAGAUACCCUGGUAGUCCACACAGUAAACGAUGAAUACUCGCUGUUUGCGAUAUACAGUAAGCGGCCAAGCGAAAGCAUUAAGUAUUCCACCUGGGGAGUACGCCGGCAACGGUGAAACUCAAAGGAAUUGACGGGGGCCCGCACAAGCGGAGGAACAUGUGGUUUAAUUCGAUGAUACGCGAGGAACCUUACCCGGGCUUAAAUUGCAGUGGAAUGAUGUGGAAACAUGUCAGUGAGCAAUCACCGCUGUGAAGGUGCUGCAUGGUUGUCGUCAGCUCGUGCCGUGAGGUGUCGGCUUAAGUGCCAUAACGAGCGCAACCCUUAUCUUCAGUUACUAACAGGUCAUGCUGAGGACUCUGGAGAGACUGCCGUCGUAAGAUGUGAGGAAGGUGGGGAUGACGUCAAAUCAGCACGGCCCUUACGUCCGGGGCUACACACGUGUUACAAUGGGGGGUACAGAAGGCAGCUAGCGGGUGACCGUAUGCUAAUCCCAAAAUCCUCUCUCAGUUCGGAUCGAAGUCUGCAACCCGACUUCGUGAAGCUGGAUUCGCUAGUAAUCGCGCAUCAGCCACGGCGCGGUGAAUACGUUCCCGGGCCUUGUACACACCGCCCGUCAAGCCAUGGGAGCCGGGGGUACCUGAAGUACGUAACCGCAAGGAUCGUCCUAGGGUAAAACUGGUGACUGGGGCUAAGUCGUAACAAGGUAGCCGUACCGGAAGGUGCGGCUGGAACACCUCCUUU